UCACCAGUGGGAUAUUAGGCUAGUACUGGUCCCUUAAAUAUUAAAUAUCAUAAGAUCAUAUACUUAUGUAGAAAUUGUUUAUUAAAAUCAGACUGUUUUUGUUGUUGUUGCUGACUUUAUAUGAUCCGAUGCAUUCUUGCUUUAAUACAAGCAGGAUAUAUCAAUUUUGACAUGAUUUUGUUAAGGAUGAUUUGUUAGUGUUGUAAUAACAGGGGUUUUAUUUAGCAAAAAAAGAGAAGAGGGUAGUUAUAGUUAUAGCUAAAGUUGGUUAAAAAGAGUGAAGGAUGGCUGGAGAGGGAAAGCUGGUUUGUGUAACAGGGGAAUCUCGAUAUAUAGCUUCAUGGCUUGUCAAGAUGUUGCUUCAACGUGAUUACACUGUCAAUGCAACUGAAUUAUCUCUCGGUUUGUUUCUCACUCUCUUUUUAUUUAUAUAUUUCUCUUCUUUUUGUGUUUCUUGCUAUGUUGAUUUACACUGCACGGGUCAAUUAUCUUGCUCAAUUUAGUCUUUUCUCUGAUGUUUAAGUUGAAAAUUAGAUACCCAUUUCUUUAUAUAUAGUCUCUUGGCUAGUUGUGAUUGCUAAUUUGAUUGAAAGUCAUAGCUUGAAGGGAGUAGGUUCAAGCUUGUGAACUUUAAGAUAUUGAUAGAGCUUUUGUUUUCUUCUCAACUUUAUUAUCACCUUUCAAAAACAUUGGCUGAACAAGCAGCUUUGAAGUUUGCAGAAGAGCACAAAUUGUCUUGGUGACACAGCGUCCAGGGUCCUGGUAUGGCCAGGGAUGACUUUGCCAGCCAACAGCUGGUCUUUGAAAUGUUGAUCCAAUGCUUAAAAGACUGAUGGCCCGCUAAAUUAUCUCUGUCAAUACCCAUAUUACUAAAGCUCUGAUUCGAUCCGAUGUAUGAUCCGAUGCCUUCUUGCUUUAAUACAAGCAGGACACAGAAGGAAACUGCAUUCGAUUGCAUAUUCAGAAUUCUCAGAAUCACUACGAGAAUGGGAGAUUGCCUUCUUGAAAAAACUGCAUUAAAUGACGACGAGGAAAGUGGUAAAGUAUUGCUGAUGCUGGGGAAGUUCAGUUUAUCAUCCAAAAUCUUUUUGAUCGCUAUGUGGGUUACGUCUUGGAUUCCUUAAAUAAUUAUAUUUAUUAAUUAGCUAUUAAUAUUUUGUUCAGCGCUCCCAUAUCUUCCAGACGAUCACCAUCCCGUCAGAGUCCCUUCUUAAUGAAUUGUGUACUGUUGAGGAUAGUUCAUGUAAAAUAGUUAAAUUCACAGGUACAUGGGAAAUUAGUAUAAUAUGUUCUCUGUACCUAUUUAUUUAUCGUUCGCGUUGAUUGGUAUUUUUCUUAUUCAUUUCUAAGCCAUGAUUAACAUGAAGUAUAUGUCUUUUACAGGCCGCCAAAGAGUUUGGAGUUUCGAUUUUUGCCGAUGGCUGACUAGAUUAUUGACUAGAUUAUUUUAGUUUGGAGUUUUUGGAUAACUUUAGAUUUUGGUAGUUUGGGCUUUUUUGGUAUAUUGGUUGUAUAUGAUUGAAUGUUGGAUAUUGGUAUUGCGGUUUCUAUGAAUGAAUAUGAAUA